rnacentral:lncRNA from 1 species
CUUAGACAGACCAGCCUAGACUGCCCUGGUUGAGCCUUCUGUCUUGAGGAGGAACCGGGAUUUCUGUAGGAAGACAGUGGAGCACGAGGAGAAUAGAGGCCAAAGGUUCUGCCCACAAGAAAGCAUAAGGGAGAAGACUGAAGCCUUCUCACAGGGUCUUUUCCAGCUACCAACAAACCUGUAGGCCUCAGAUGGUCCUAAUGCACUGAUGCGGUGGAGUAAGAACGAAGCAGAUAAGACAAGUCCAAACAAGUCCAGAUGGCGGCACAUGCGGGAGGACAUAUGUCCUUAAAGUUGGACUAAGACUUGGAGAUCAACUCAAGAGCAUCGUUCUAGUGACCAUUGUUAGGACUCCAAUGUCCUCCCCACAGCAGGUGGGACCUACCUGAGACAGACAGAAAAGACCUCAAAAGCCGAGGCUGAGAACAACCGAAUGCACUGAAUAAAGACCCUCUCUGUGGACUAGGCUUGUCCCUGGGUAUAGAGUGGAACGUCACUGUCAGUUAAGGAUUAAUCCUUCUCAUCUAUAGUGGUUUGAGUAAGCAAUGUCCCCCAGGUGUUUGAACACUUGGUCCCCAGUUAGUGGCAAUGUUUGGUGAGGUUAUGGAACCUUUAGGAGUUGGAGCCCUGCUAGAGGAAGUGCGUCACUGGUGGGUCGGGCUUUCAGAGUAUACUCCCUCAUUCUACUUAGGGUUUCUCUGUGUGUACCUGGGUGUCUUAGAACUCACUCUGUAGGCCAUCAUGGCCUUGAACUCAGAGGUCGGCCUGCUUCUGCCUCCCAAGUGCUGGUAUUGCAACCACACUUAUAGGCCAGUGUAUUUUAAGAUUGUAAUUGUUGAUGUAUAUUAGUUGAACAUAUUAGCACAUUUUACUGUGUCGUUCCCACACAUGAGUAGACCAUGAACUGCUCAUAUGCACUUCCCAGUUAUUUUCUUUAUCCUUCUUUCUUGCCUUGCUAUGUCCCUUAUACUUUUCUAGUAGUUUCUCUAUUUCCCAGGCUUUUGCUGUCAUCUCUUUUUCUUUUGUUCUACAGAUGAGAGAAAACACGCUUAAUGUUUUCUUCCUGCAUCUUGCCAAUCUUACCAAACAUAAUGUCCUCUGCUUCUAUCUACUGUCUCGUGACUGACACGAGUUCAUGCUUCUUUAUGAUAGAAUUGCACUCUUCAGCAUAUUCAGCACAUUUCCUCCGUUCAUUCAUGGGUUCAAGCAGAGGCUGAUUCCAUAUCUCGGCCAUUAUGACAAGUGAUGCUGUAAAUGUGGCUGUAUGUAUAUCUCUAUCCCGUGCUGGUUGAGGCAGCUUUGAGUACAUACUCAGGAGUGGCAUAGCUGCAUCAUAGGCUACUCCUACCACCUCUACUUUUUGAGGAACUUCCAUACUGAUUACUGUAGUGCCUGAGCUAAUUUACAUCCAUGCCAAUGACAUAUAAGGUUCCCCUCCCCCACAUCCUCACCAGCACUUGUUAUUUCCUUACUUAACUGUAGCCAUUUUGACACGCAUCAUGUGGAAUCUCAAUAUAGUUUUGCUUUAUAUUUCCUGGUGGCUAAAGAUGUUGAGCAUUUUAUCAUUUGUCCUUUUGGCUAUUAAUACAUUUUCCAAGAUGUGGCCAGGUCAUUGGCCCAUUUGUCAGUUGGCUUACUUCUUCUUUUGUCAUUAUUUUUUUAUUAUAAUGUAAUCUUGAUACAUGUCUUCAGUCAGAUGAAUGGCUGGCAGAGAUUUUCUUCUAUUCUGCUGCUUGUCUCUUCACAGAGAUGCCUACUGAUCGGUGCCCCGAACCUUCCAAAGAUUGCAUGUUCCAUGUUAAAUCCAAUGUCUUUUUCUUCCAGCUAUGAUCCCUGCCUUAACUAAUGUACCGCCAUUCACCUGGUGUCCCUAGCAAGAAACCUGGUUUCCCUUCCUCUCUCACUUCUCACCUCUGACUGGUCCCCAGGACUGGACAACUCCAUUUCUUGAAACACUUUCCUGCCACCCAAUCUGACGCUUCUUCCUUCCUGUCCAGAAGAGGACCGUGCUCUGCAUCUAGUCAGUCACCGGUAUUUCCUGUGCACUGGCAGAAGCUAACCCCUGUCUUUCUAUAAACCCCACCCUGACUCUCAGGAUAGAGAUGAAAGAUUUAACUACAACACUGGGGUCCUCCAACAUAACCUAUGACCCCCAUCUCUCACAUUCUCUCCUUACUCUUGAUUCUCUAUGGUGCCACCCUGCCAUCAAAAGCACAUGCUGAAUCUCCCAAAUGCCCUCUCACCCCUCCUUCCUCUCUUGCAUCUCUUGGUUCCCUGUACUUACCAUAAUGUGAUAGUCUAAUCAAAUCUCUAUUUAUUGACUGUCCUCUCACAAAAGCUCCAUGAAAAUAGGAAUUUCUAAAGUUGUAUAAAUUAUGCAUGGCAUAAACGUCACUGCUUUAGUCAUUUUAAGUGUAAAAUUCAGUAUUAUCAAGCACAUUUACUCAGCCAUUACUAUUAUUUAUCUGCAGAUCCUCUCUAAUAGGAACUCUGUACUCUUUAAAUAGUAACUCAUUACCCCUCUCUCCAGGCUCUGCUGGCCACCAUUCAUUUACUCUGUGUGUAAAUUUGCCCGUUCUGAUGUUCUUCAUGCAAGUAGAGUUAUAUAUAUUUGUUGUUUCGUGUCUAGCUUAUUUUACGUAGCCUAAUGGUUUUAAGGUUCAUUUCCUAUAGCAUAUAUCAGAAUUCUAUCCCUUUUAUGGUCAAUUAAUAUUUUGCCUUAUGCACAUGCCACACUCUAUUUACCCACUCCUCUGUCAGUGUACACGUGGGCUGCUUCCACAUCUUGGCUCUCAUUAGCACUUGUACUCCCAAGUAUCUGAAAAUAGAAGUCUGGGCAUCAGGAGUCGUCAAUAGUCUGGAAUAAUGCUGGUCCACAGGCCCCCAACCCAGCACUCCUCCUGUGCAGCUUUGCCUAAGUGUAGACUGCUUCUUCUGUCUAGAAACACUUCUCUUCCUUGUCCUUGAAGAAAUGCUUUUGUUGUUCUCUGCACACUCCUUCCCCAAGAAGCAUUUUCUUAUAACUGACCAUGUAUACACACGUAUAUAUGCUCUCUCUCCCUCCCUUUCUCUCGCUCUCUCCCUCCCUCUCUCCUUCCCUCCUUCCCUCCUCAUUCUCUCCCUCCCUUUCCUUCUCCCUUCCUCUCUCUCCCAUACUAUUCCAUAGACACUCUAGGAAUCUGUUCUCAUUGCAGCUAGGCACCAGCCUGUCAUUUAGAUAAUGAGCGUGAAGAGAUGAAAAUACGCGUUAAUCCGAUGCCUUCCAUAAGCUUUGUUAAAUGUCUAUCUGUGGAGCUGACACGCUGUCUUUUCCCUCAGACAUUGUAGAAUCUGUUGACAUAGAAACAAGCAGGUCAAAGUUUCACCUGUCUGGACCACAUCCCUAUUCAAAGAGACAGAGAGGCUACCUGCCUGUCAUACCUGGGACACUCUGUAUUUACAUCAGUAAAACAUCAAUGCUCAUAUCUAAUGUUUAUGCAGAUUUAUGGGAUAGAACAUGAUCACUUGAUACAUGUAUACAGUGUGGUAUGUUUCAGUCAGAGUAAUUACUAUUUCCAUCUCCCAAAAUAUUUAUCAUUUCCUUAUACUGGCAACCUGUGACCUCAUCUCUAGUACUUAAUAAUAUGUAUUAACAUGCUGUGAAUGAUGGCGACUCUACUAUGCUAGAGAACAUUAUAACUCAUUGCCCUAUCCAAACAAUUGUAUUCUGUACCUAUGACCCAAUCCCUCCAGAUCUUCUCCAUCAUAACCUCGGGUGACUCUUACUGUCUUCUGUGCUUUUAUGAGAUCAGCAUUUUCAUAUCCACAUAUGAGCCAGAACAUCAGCAUAAUUUUCUCCAGCGCCCCUUUCACUUUUACAUUGUGCUGAUGUAGAAUAAUAAGACUGUAUGACCAUGCCAUAAAGGGCAAAGCUAACUUUCAUUGGCCCACCCUGGGAAAUGACCCUCCCCCCCAGGUAGAAGUCCCUGGACCUGAAACCUUAUUCUUCAUGUACUUCUCCAAACUUCCAGCUCCCAGGAACUGCCUUUGCUAACUGAAGAAAGUUUCUAGAAGCUGCUACAGCCUAUUCUAUUUAUGUGCACACCCAGAUGAUAAGGGCGUGACUGCCUGCUCCUUCCACGAGUGACAAAACAGACCUCCGUGUUCAUAGUUCGUCAAGUGUCCCCAAGGAGGGCCAUCUCUCCCACAUGGGUUUUGGGUGUUUUCCGAUGCAACCCCAUAAGGUUGUACUGAAUUUGCUUCUAGCCGUAGUAGCCCAGUAGCCUGGCACAGCACUGAAAUUGAUGCUGAGAUUGCAGGUACAUGUUCUAUUAAUAGAGUUCUUCACGUUGUGGUGACCCCCAACCAUAAAAUUGUUUCAUUGCUACUUCUCAACUGCAAUUUUGCCACUGUCGUGAAUAAUAAUGUAAAUAUCUGAUAUGCAGGAUGCCUGAUAUGCGACCUGUGGGCUGAAAAACACAGGUGCAAGGACUAUCGUUGUGACUCAUCUCCCUUGUCCUUUCUUGUGUACUCCAUUCCCAACCAACUCCGUCCCACAAGCCUCUGCCAUCCACCUGGCUACAAGCUUCUCCUGCCGGGAUCUGAUUCUUCUGUGCAGAGUCACCAGUAGAGGAUAUUACAGUUGGAUGUGCAGUGUCCCUCAUGGGCCUCCCUCUCCAUCACUUGGUCCCGAUCUGGUGAUGCUGUUUGGAGAAGUUUAUAGAACCUCCGUGAUAUGUAGUCUUGAUGGGUGUAGGCCACCAAUGGUGGGUCGUCAAUAGCCAUAACCACAUGCUUUCAUUGCAUCUAGCUCUCUGCUUAUCGUGCAAUAAAUUUUGUGAUGAGAUAACCAACCUAUGCUAUAACCAUUUUGAAAUUAUCUUCCUCGGCGGUCAUAAUAGACUGUGUCCCCUGCCCCCAAACCUUGAAUUAAAAUAAG